AUUGAACGCUGGCGGCAGGCUUAACACAUGCAAGUCGAGCGAGCGGCGGACGGGUGAGUCAUGUCUGGGAAACUGCCUGAUGGAGGGGGAUAACUACUGGAAACGGUAGCUAAUACCGCAUACCAUCAGAUGUGCCCAGAGGGGAUUAGAGAGUAGGUGGGGUAAUGGCGCACCUAGGCGACGACCACUAGCUGGUCUGAGAGGAGGACCAGCCAAACUGGAACUGAGACACGGUCCAGAGUCCUACGGGAGGCAGCAGUGGGGAAUAUUGCACAAGGGGCGCAGGCCUGAUGCAGCCAGGCCGCGUGUGUGAAGAGGUCCUUGGGGUUGUAAAGCACGUUCAGCGAGGAGGCGUUACUCGCAGAAGAAGGACCGGCUAACUCCGUGCCAGCAGCCGCGGUAAUUC
rnacentral:rRNA from 1 species